rfam:Cucumis melo, WGS project CAJI01000000 data, contig: 23664
GGCCGAUGAUGUAGAAAAUUUGUCCGUACCAUCUGAGAUGCAUUUCGAUGGAGUACACAAUCAAUCUUUACGUUCUGAGGCCU